CAACAGGGAUUGCCUCAGUAACGGCGAGUGAAGCGGCAAAAGCUCAAAUUUUAAAGCUGGCACCUUCGGUGUCCGCGUUGUAAUUUUGUGAGGCAUCUCCGGGUAGGGCGCCGGCCUAAGUUCCUUGGAACAGGACGUCACAGAGGGUGAGAAUCCCGUGCUUGGCUGGCUGUCCCCGUCCACGUGAGGUGUCUUCGACGAGUCGAGUUGUUUGGGAAUGCAGCUCAAAAUGGGUGGUAAAUUUCAUCUAAAGCUAAAUAUUGGUGGGAGACCGAUAGCGCACAAGUAGAGUGAUCGAAAGAUGAAAAGCACUUUGAAAAUAGAGUUAAAAAGUACGUGAAAUUGUUGAAAGGGAAGCGCUUGAGACCAGACUUCGGUAGGGGGUGAUCAGCCGUCCUUCUGGGCGGUGCACUUGCCCCCCUCCGGGCCAGCACCGGUUGGGGCGGCGGGAUAAAGGUCCCGGGAACGUGGCUCCUCUCGGGGAGUGUUAUAGCCCGGGUGAAUGCCGCCAGCCUCGACCGAGGACCGCGCCCGCAAGGGUCAGGAUGCUUGGCAUAAU
rnacentral:rRNA from 1 species